UGGGUCUUUCAGUUUAGUGCUGUCCGUC
rnacentral:piRNA from 1 species